CUUCCCUACGGGGCGCAGCAGUGGGGGAUAUUGCACAAUGGGGGAAACCCUGAUGCAGCGAUGCCGCGUGAGUGAAGACGGCCUUCGGGUUGUAAAGCUCUGUCGCAGGGGACGAAAAUGACGGUACCCUGCAAGAAAGCUCCGGCUAACUACGUGCCAGCAGCCGCGGUAAUACGUAGGGAGCAAGCGUUGUCCGGAAUUACUGGGUGUAAAGGGAGCGUAGGCGGGAGGAUAAGUUGAAUGUGAAAUCCAUGGGCUCAACCCCUGGCU
rnacentral:rRNA from 1 species